rnacentral:lncRNA from 1 species
UUGAAACAUCUUAUUUCACAUGUUUCCUAUGCACAAAAUACAUUUCGUACAUAUAUUAUUUUACAUAAUACAAUCAAUCAAAAGGAACAACAACAAGUGUUCCGAAGGAAAGCACGAGGAAGAGGGAAGAGGUACGACCUCGCUAAAGCUCGAAGCACUUAAUUUUGACCUCCUGCCAACUUCUAAUAGCUCUAUCGAUAUAAAACUAUGCACGUGCAUUCAUG